GGUUGACCUCGGAUCAGGUAGGACUACCCGCUGAACUUAAGCAUAUCAAUAAGCGGAGGAAAAGAAACCAACAGGGAUUGCCCCAGUAACGGCGAGUGAAGCGGCAACAGCUCAGAUUUGGAAUCUGGCCCCCAGGGCCCGAGUUGUAAUCUGGAGAGGAUGCUUCUGGCGCGGCGCCUUCCGAGUUCCCUGGAACGGGACGCCGGAGAGGGUGAGAGCCCCGUACGGUUGGACGCCUAGCCUUUGUGAAGCUCCUUCGACGAGUCGAGUAGUUUGGGAAUGCUGCUCAAAAUGGGAGGUAAAUUUCUUCUAAAGCUAAAUACCGGCCAGAGACCGAUAGCGCACAAGUAGAGUGAUCGAAAGAUGAAAAGCACUUUGAAAAGAGGG
rnacentral:rRNA from 1 species